AGCUUUGUGCAGUGGCAGUAUCGUAGCCAAUGAGGUUUGUCCGAGGCGCGAUUAUUGCUAAUUGAAACUAUGGUCUCUUUCUCUUCAAGCCUUUGCACAUGGUAUUCCCUUAGUACUGUGUGUUCUUCUCACCCAAUACUUAGCUCAUUACUUAAUAAAGU
rnacentral:snRNA from 1 species